rnacentral:rRNA from 1 species
AUGCAACCUCGGAAUAUCAGCAUAAAGGUGGCAAGGGAAGAAGAUAUGUCCUCACAAAUUGGAAACGAUGGCUUCUAUUUUGAUCUCGUCGACUUUGACAGGGUGAAGGCUUUCCAGAUCGCGGAUAACAUGACUAUGUCCCGAUUGAAGAUGGAAAUUGCAGUAGAAUUCAGCAUCCCAGUUCAAUGUCAGCGCCUCUGGUUGUUUUGUAAAAGGCAAAACGGGACAUGGCGUCCUGUUAAGCCAUUCUCUACCGAAGAAAACAAUCUAUCUAUGACUAGCCUCGGUAGACUAUUGUCAAGGACCUUCUUGUUCCUGAAUCCUGAUGGUGUGAAGCUGUUUUUGGAGGUGCUCAAUGAUUCUUCCCCAAAAAAUCUGAGCAACAAUGAUGGGUUAGUGUUUUUAAAGCUUUAUGACCCAGAACAAACACAGAUACGAUAUAUUGGAAUGGUUUUUGUAAAAGCUUCAUCAAGGCCUUCAGAUAUUCUUCCGAAACUAAGAAGUCUAGCUGGUUUUUGUGCAGAUGAGGAAAUGGAAUUAUAUGAGGAAAUCAAAUUUGAACCUUCUGCCAUGUGUGAUGCCAUAGAUGCCAAUAUUACAUUUUCAGAAAGCCAGAUUGGGCAAGGGGAUAUCAUUUGCUACCAGAAAAGCUCGAAGUCUUUGAGCCACCAUGCAUACCCUUCUGUUCAAAUAUUCUUCAAUCGUAUUCAUGAUUUGAAGGCAGUUGUUCCGGGGGAGCAAAUGAAGAUACUUGCUCUGGAAGAGGAGGUUGCUAGGUUAAAACGUCAGUCUGACCUUCAAACAGAGAAGGCAAAUAUAGAAUGCCAGCGGUUUAAAUGUGAGCGAGACAAUGCAGUGCGGCAGCUGAAUGAGCUGCAGGAUCAGAAUCCUCAGAUUUUCCUUGAGUUUCCCAUCACAAAUUUGCUGCAAGCAACGCAGAACUUCAGUGACCUGUGCAAGGUUGGAGACACCGAAUAUGGAUGUGUAUAUAAAGGCAUUAUACACGAUACUACAGUAGCUAUCAAGCUAUCCAGAUCUGAUACUUUAUUUCAACAAGAGGUUUCUAUUCUUCGUCAAGGCAGACAUCCAAACAUUGUCAACUGCAUUGGAAAAUGUUCUGAAGUUUCAGCUCUUGUGUAUGAGUGGUUGCCAAAAGGAAACCUCCAAGAUCACAUUGUUUGUGCUCAUGGCUCUCCACCUCUUUCAUGGCAGAUCCGCACACAGAUCAUCGGUGAGAUUUGUUCUGCGCUGCUUUUCCUGCAUUCACGUGAGCCUCAUGCUUUGGUCCAUGGCGAUCUACGGCCUUGUAACAUAUUGGUCGACGCCAACUUCAGAAGCAAGAUCUGCAACUUUGGUAUGUUAACCCUGUUUCUUCAGCCCGGCGACCACCAACCAGCUCUGACAGCCAGACUGCCAUACCUGGAGCCGGAGCUCCUCACGACGGGAGAGCUCACACCCCUUUCUGAUGUCUACUCUCUGGGUGUUAUCAUCCUGUGUCUCCUGACUGGACUGCCUCCCUUGAUUAUUGCAAAGAAAGUUUCAGAAGCAUUGGUGAAUAAUAGCUUGCACACGCUGAUUGAUAAAUCAGCAGGGAACUGGCCUUAUGUACAAAGCCAAGCAGUUAGCCGUCAUUGGUCUUAG